AAGCUGAAACAUUGUUAUUUUAGUGUCAAAACACUGCCACACUUGUCCUCUUUCGGUAUAAAAAUUCUCAACCAAACAGCCAAAGACUCUGAAGAGUAUUCCACCUUCGACUUUCGAAACUUGCUUUCCUUUCUGGGUUUUUUGUUGUUUUGUUUGUUGGUCCAUUCCACCAGAUUUUGCAUAUUUCCGUUCUGUGUUUGGAAUUUUUAAGUGAGUGCGCUCAACUUUGUCUGUUGCUGUUGCUGUUGCUGUUGCUGCUGUGAUUGUUGCUGAUUUGUGGCUGCUAAUGCAGCUGUUUGUUUCCGUUUGUUAGCCUUCACGGGCUGAUGUUGUUUCUGCUGCAAAGUUGUACACAACUGCUGCCCCUCCGGGAUCCGACAGCUAUAUGACACUUUUUUCGUUGGGCUCUGCAAAAGUUUUAACCGGGGAUUGGCCCCCGAAGAGAGAGCGAGCUCUUAUCUUUGUCAAAGGGUUCAAUAAACUUGCUCGAAAAUCCCCUUUGCCAAAUACUCAAAAAGUAAAAAAAAGACGACCCCAAACGCCCUUCCCCGCAGCUACUUUCUGGAGUUCAU
rnacentral:lncRNA from 1 species